UACGUAGGGUGCGAGCGUUAAUCGGAAUUACUGGGCGUAAAGCGUGCGCAGGCGGUUCGCUGUGUCCGAUGUGAAAGCCCCGGGCUUAACCUGGGAAUGGCAUUGGAAACUGGCGGGCUUGAGUGCGGCAGAGGGGGGUGGAAUUCCGCGUGUAGCAGUGAAAUGCGUAGAGAUGCGGAGGAACACCGAUGGCGAAGGCAGCCCCCUGGGUCGACACUGACGCUCAGGCACGAAAGCGUGGGGAGCAAAC
rnacentral:rRNA from 1 species